GUAUUACAAUACACGGGAUACGAAUUACACUAUACGCGGACCUUACCCUAAUCUCCUAAACACAACCGCCAUCAAACCAAUUCUCAUCGUCUCCACUAAAGAUGCAGAGAUCUCCACCAACGUCUCCCACCGAAGACCUGAUCCAAUUACUCACUAAAACCCUAAAUCAGUUCUUCCUAAACGCACCCAACCACCAUUACAUCUUCUACAUAUCUGUUCUUCCUGCUUUCAUGAAAAGGUUUACACAUCGCAGAUUUCGUCCGCCAUCAUCUUCACCGAGAAGCGAGCGUCACCACAACAGUCACUGACUCUACACCAUGGAUCGUAAUCGAUUUCUCACUCCCAGGCAGAACCUACAUCGAUUUCUUCUACAAUUCGUCUUAGUUUGGUUUCGGAACACCUGCUCAAAUCAAUCCCGAUUUCAUUCUUUCACAGGGUGAUACUUUACAUAGGUGGCGAACUGAACCUUUCACCAUGAUAACUGAUGGGUACCUCCUGCUUUGCCAACAGCCAAGAGUCCAGAAAAUGAGAAAACUGGAGCCACAUUUGUUGCUGGAAGAAGCAGAGUACUACUAUCUUUUUUCUAUUAUAGGCUAAUAGCAUUAUUAUUGUUGUUAAAUAAAAGAAUAGUUUGAUAAGAUUAUAAAAGGGUAUUAUGGUCCCUUUAUGCAUUUUGAUGGCAUUCACAAAAACAAGAUGAAAGGGCAAUUUAGUCUUUCUCUUAUCAUUGUCCAAUGAGAUUGGGUAAUAAAGCUUCAUUGAAAUUUUGUGAUUUUAGCAUGCAUGGGAAAGAAUGAAUUAAUUUAAUAAUUUGUUGACCAUUCCAUUUCAGUAUAGUUGUCAACUUUACCAAAGUUUAAUGGAAUUAAUAAAUAAAAAAAACUUAUGUUAAUGUUUUACUAUUUCAGUUUUUAUCAAAGUUGAUUUUUUUCUUUUCAUUCUAAUGUUUAUUUUCUCCUGAUUUAGAUCCUAAAACCAAAGUUGUUGUUUGGUUGUUGCUGUAGUGAACCGGAGACAAAUUUCAUCCAUGAACAUCACAACUUAAAAGGUUAGUAGAUCGGACUGACAUGCUAUUGAUCAUCUUGAUGACAAGUUUUUGUGAUAUUGCCUCAAUGAAUAGACCAUAUUUCAUUUACUGAUGUUGUGAAUUUCAUGAAUUAUUCUCAUCUAUUAUGCAUAACAUUCCAUUGAAUUUGUUUGGAAUUUUCACCUUUGGGUUCGAAAUUUUAACCUCAUUUGUGUUUUCCCCUAAUUUCCAUUUGGUCAGCUUGAAUUGGUGUUCUUGACCAGUUUUUGAGGUCGAAGGUACAUAUAUGUUAAUCUUCGAAAUCUGUUUCAUCAUGUUCUCUUUUUUCAUCAUGAUUUUCUUUCAUGCAUGCAUGCAGGAUAAGCUCAAAGUGUACCUUGCACCCUUUCUGCAUGGCAGGCGUUAUACAUCUUUUGGUCAUCAUUUUACAAAAGUGGAAGAGGCUAAUGCAGUUUGUGUUGGCACCUUUGUGAUUUAUGAAUACGCCAAAUUAUUGACAAGCUCAAGGUUUGUUGUUGAAGAUGGUGACACACACAAUUCAUCAACAAGGAAUCGGGAACUAGAAGAUUACUUCAUUGUAUUGCAUUACAUUUCGUGACACGAAUUCAGAUUGAUAUGUCGAGCUUUCCAACAAAAUGUCAUUGAUGUAGAGAUAGUUGUUGGCCAACACGCUGGAAAAAGAGUGUUUUUACCAAGAAUUCCUCUAUGUUUUAUCUACCAGAAGCGGUGUUCUCACAUGGCCAACUUUAUGUGGCGUUGUCCAGAGGAAUAUCACAUGUCAAUACCAAGGUAUUAGUGAAGCCGGAAAAACAUUUGAUAAUGAUGGAAUCUACACAUCAAACGUUGUGUACAAAGAUGUGUUAUGUGAUUAACAAGGGCUAGCAGAUGAAGCAACAUGAUUGCAGAUUGGUGUAGUUUAUAUAUUGGACAUAUUAUAAAUGUACAAAACUACAUGGUUUCAAAUUGUUGUUAUUUAUAUAUUGUAAAAUCAAGUAUGAACUAUUAGAUGGAUUAUUUGAGAUGUAGACUCAACUUUUGUCAUAUUGUAUGACUAUGCACCUAGCAAGAAACUAUCUAUUGAAAUGAACUAUUCGACACAAAA